rnacentral:lncRNA from 1 species
UGCAGACCCAGAGGGAGGCAGCCGUGGGCCGGCACCCCCCAAGGAGGCGAGUGCAGGGGGGCUGGCACCCUCUCCCCUCCACUGUUUCGCUUUCCCCUCUCAGGGGCCAGACAUUAAGGACGAGGACGCUCAGAAACCAUUGCACGUGGAGUUCCCGUCGUGACUCAGUGGAGACGAACCUGACAGAGGUCCGAGAGGAUGCAGUGGCCGUGGUGCAGGCCAGUGGCCAGGCUCCGAUUGGACCCCUGGCCUGGGAACCUCCAUGUGCCACGGAUGCGGCCCUACGAAAAAAGCCGGAAAAAAUUUGCAUGUUUGAGAAGGUUAGCAAGCGUCUGUUGCACACGCCCAGGUGAGGACUCAGCAAAGACCUGAGAAAAACUGGAGGCUACUCUUCUGGCUGGUUCUUGGCAAGGCGCCUAUAACAAUAAAAACUAAACAGACCCCCAGCAAACCGCAGGGGAGGGAGAAUCUGGUGCCCAGAGCUGUCACGUUUUUAAAUGUCCAGUGUUCAACCAAGAAAUUGGAGACCUGCAGAGAAACGGGAGGGUGUGGAGAACCUGUUGAAAGGAACCAAAAACAAUUCAGAAUCUGUCCCUGAGAAAGAAAGACUUUAAAACAAAUCUCUUUUGUUGUUGUUUUUUCAUUUUUAGGGCCAAACCCACAGCAUAUGGAAGUUCCCGGCCUAGGGGUGGAAUCAGAGCUGCAGCCGCCGGCCUCCACCACAGCCACGGUGACACUGCAGCUCACGGCAACGCCAGAUCCUUAACCCACUGGCCAGGGAUCGAACCCGCGACCUCAUGGAUGCUGGUCGGGUUCGUUCUGCUGCUGUGCCGCAAGGGGAACUCGGGGAACAGCCGUCUCCCAGAUGCCCCAAGAGCUGAAAGAAGAUGCGGAGGACGUUUUGUGUGGACAGAGUGGCGAUACCGGAGGGACGGAGAGCCAAGAGUCAGAAAAGUCUGAACCUGGAACAACAGUGACGGAAAUGAAAAGUUGAGUAGAGAGAUUUAAAGACGACGCCGAGCAGCAGGGAGCGUCUGGGACCCUGAGGAGAGGACCAGAGACCUCACGGAGGCUGAGGAGCUGCACCUCCCAGAUGGUGGCACAGCGUCCGGAGGGACGUGCUGUGGGAGCCUGAGGGAAGGACCGGGGCGGCCGGGAGUGAAUAAGGGCUGCAGACCCCGGUUUUCUCGAGACGUGACUGUGCACGUGCACGCGCACCUCGGAGACACUGCUUGUGAGUCUGGCUCCAGGCCCCUCAGGAAGGCAAGCACCUGUCAGAUGGGCUCACACGGAUGCUUUCGUUUCCCGGUGCACGUAAAAGAGGGUCCCACGGGGUUCCUUUCGUGGCUCCACAGUUAGCGAACCUGAGUAAGAUCCACGAGGACGUGGGUUGGAUCCCUGGCCUUGCUCCAUGGCUGAAGGGUCCGGCGUGGCUGUGAGCUGGGGUGUGGGUCGCAGACACGGCCCGGAUCCUGCGUUGCUGUGGCCGUGGUGCAGGCCGGCAGCUGUGAGUCCCUUCGACCCCUGGCCUGGGAGCUCUCAUAUGCUGCAGGUGCAACCCUAAAAAGAAAAGCUUAUGUCCACGUGAUACUCUAGCCUGUUAAGUGUGCGGUAGCGCCAUCGUCUUUAUAAAGCAAGCGCUGUGCACGCUGUCCAUCGGCGCAGCCUUCAGUGGGUUCGGGUCAGACGGCACUGAUCACAGACCCCGACAAAGGAAUAAAACGUUUGAAACGCUGCACGAAGCACCAGCAUAGGACGUACAGACCCAAAGUGAGCAGAUGCCGUGGGGUGAUGGUGUCCGUCGUCUGGCUUGACGCGAAGCCGACCUUCAGUCUCUAGAAAACUCUCGGCCGAGCUCGGUAGCAGAGCGAGGAAGGACCGUACGGAGCCGAGCAGCUGCCCAGUUGAUCUCCAGGAGAAUCCCACCGAGACGCGUGACCAGACGCUGCAAAGACACAGAGCAGGGCUGAGGGCCGCGGAGGGCGUUGAAUCGUCGUGGACACGCGAGGUCCCCGUGAGGUGAUGCUCGGGUUUCUGUUUGGGGCCGGGAGGCCGCAGGACAGCAGGCCGGCAGACGGAAGGUCUGAAGCGUCGGCCUCGACUCUUCUGUGGGAAAGCGUGCCUGCCCUUCCAGUGAGGGGCAGCAGAGAUGCUUCCAGGGGAGAGCGGGGGAUCUUGUUCACCAACCUGUCCUGCCCGAAGGGCUCAAGGGAAGCCUACAGGGUGGCACGGGAGCCGCGAGAUGGCAUCUCAAAGCCGUGUGAAAAGUAAAGACCUCCGCAAAGACGAAUACCUGGGCGUUGUAACACCGAGAAUCCCCACGACCGUGCCCUGCAGCUGUCCAUUUUGUUUUCUAUACCUUAACAUACAUUUAAAGAAAAAAAUUAAUGUAAAAGCUAGGGUCGCUGUGGAGUCCCUUGGUGGCACAGUGGUUAGCGAAUCCGACGGGGAACCAUGAGGUGGCAGGUUCGAUCCCUGGCCUCGCUCAGAGGGUUGAGGAUCCGGCGUUGCCAUGAGCUGUGGUGUAGGUUGCAGACGCGGCUCGGAUCCCGUCUUGCUGUGGCUGUGGUGCAGGCCGGCAGCUAUAGCUCCGAUUCGACCCCUCGCCUGGGAACUUUCAUAUGCCACGGGAGCGGCCCAAAGAAAUAGCAAAAAGACAAAAAAAUUUUAAAAAAAAGCUAGGGUCACUGUAACUUUGGUUGAUAACUCGAAAUUGUAUACACAACUCAGGGGACUGUACACUUAGAAUCAUUGCUGUUUCGUGGCACAUGGUCUAUAAGGAUGCAGCAGUCAAAAGGGUGCGGUGGGGCUGCAGAAAAAGCAGAAUUGUUGUCUGUUGUUGAAGUGAAGCUGCUCUAAGAUCAAAUGGGAACAUUGCAACUUUAAGAUGUUCAACAGCCUCCUCUCGGUAACCACAGAAAAGUUAUAGGGUGUACAGAAGAGGAAAUUAAGAAGUAAUUUAAACAUUUCACUCAAGAAAAUCAAUGGAAAAGAAGACAGAAUGCAAGAAGUGAGAAAAACGCCUUAGGGCCUGUGGUAAAACCAACACCGUGACAGCUUGGUCC